rnacentral:lncRNA from 12 species
CGGAGGCGACCCCGACGCGGAGCCGAAAUCUGACACAUGUCACGCCCGCCCCGCCGCGCCGAGCGCUGCUGCUGGGGCCAAACUUUGCCGCCGCCGCCGCCGCCGCGGGAGGAGCGCGCCCGCCGCGGAGUUAAAGUCGCCGCCCGGCCCGGCGCGGAGGUGGCCGGGACGGGGCGGGGUGCGGGGGCGCCGCGCGCCACAGUGAGGCCAAGAAACUUACCGCGACCUGGGACGCCUGGCCAGCGUCCCGGGAGGUGGCACCCGCCGCGCCGAGGCAGGAGCCCCCAAACCACACACACCCACGAGCGAGUCCCGGCAGCUGCUGCCGCGAGUGUGUGUGUGUGUGUGUGUGUGUGUGUGUGUGUGUGCGCGUGCAGGGGGGCGGUGGUGCGCGCCCCGGGGGAGGAGGGGGGGGCCCGGAGGAAGCCGCAGCCGGCGGACGCGGCCGCCGCAUAAAUACCCGGGCCGGGCGCUCGCGGGGCUGGAGCCGGGGCGCAGCGGCCGCCGCGGAGCUGCACGCGCCGGCGUGUCUCGCGCUUUCUCGGAGGCUCGCGCUGUCUCGCGCUGCCGCUCCCCCACCCCGCCCCCCCCACCCGGAUCUGUGUGCGGGUCCGUAUGUGUGUCUAUGUGUGUGAGUGUGUGCGCCGGCGGGUGCGCGCUCCGGGCCGCGCGCGCGCGUGUUGUUGGCGCUGCGCACUGUACACACGCGGCGCGCGGGGCCGCCUCUCCCGCGAGGGGCGGGGGGAGGGGGCGCCGCCGAGGACUCCCGAAGUGCGGCUGGGCCACUUGUUUGUUUGGUUUCACUUUGCCUCGUUGGUGCCGGUGGUCGUCGUCGCUCCCCCAAAGUGCUUUUGGAAGCGGCCGGCCUGAAUGCUGGCGCCCCCCCUCCCCUCCCUCGCUCCCCCCGGUGCCCCCAACUUCUCGACGCGAGGCGGGGCGGGGAUGUCGCCGGGCUCCGCGGCGGAGCCUCCUGGCUGACGUCAGGUCCACCUGCUAUGUAAACAAGUCGCCCGAGAACUUGUUUGUUCGGCGCCGGGCUCCCGCCACCCCCACCGUCCUCCCCACCUCCAGCUCCGCCUCCUCCCGCUCGGCCCAGACGGCGCGGCGAGGGAGGGGGUGGGGAGGGAGGAGAGAACAAAACCGUAUGCUGUAUUGGCAGCGCCGAGUUGUGUCUGCUGCUUCUUGGCAGUCCCCAAAAUGGGAGCAGUCCCGAAAAAAAAAAGGAAAAAAAAUCACAAACGCGAGACCCGAAGGGCCCUGCCUCGCCCUCCCGACACGUUGGGGAUCAUUUCAGAUGGUGAUCAGCGGCCAGAGCCUUGAACACAAAGAAAGGAAGGGAUGA